UAACUAGGUCAGCGCCCUGUCAGCAAA
rnacentral:misc_RNA from 1 species